GAAAAGACGGCACGCACUCUGUUCUAGGGUUUCCACCGCCGCCGCUACCGCCACCAUCCUGAGAUGCCGACCGAGCUGAAGCGCGCUGCGGAGGAUGGUGAUGAUUCCACUUCCACCCGUCUUCGCCGGAAAAUCGUAGUUCCAGAAAAGCCGGUCUAUCUGGUGGUGGAGCACAAGGCGGAGCCAGCGUACUCCAUCCUCAGUGUUGGCACAAUGGCGCCUAAGAUCCCGCUGCACCUCAGCCAACGCGGCAUGUCGUUCACUGCCAUGGAGUCGCCGCAGGGGUCCUGGAUCGUUGGCGUGGGCGGGGACGAGCAGAAUCACACCACCAUCUUCGAUGUCACGGCCUCCAAGGAGUGGCAGGGCCCGUGGCUCCAUACCAAUAAGAUGGAGCCCAUCCUGAUUCCACACCGCGGCCAGCUCUACGUGCUCUCCAGCCGCCCCUCCGUGAAGAGGGGGGCGAUGGGGCUCGACUACCUUCCCUGGUUCGAGCAGAUUAACUUCGAGGACGGCCGCCCUAACCAAGCCGAGGUUUGCCUAGAACUCGAGCCGCCGCCCAUCUUUCCGUGCCGCAUCACCCCGCCUGAGUACAGGAACCCGCCGGCUAUACGCGUUGCCUCUUACGCCAUGGUUGGCUCCCAUAUUUUGCUCUCCGUGCAACUGGACAAUGUGACCAGCCCCGACAAGUUUGCCAGGAAAUACAGGAAAUACAUGGGAACCUGCGGGUACGACGUGGAGAAGAAGGUGUGGGAGAUGGUGCAUGAGAUGAAUCUUCCUUUCCUUGGCCAGGCGGUGCCCCCUCCGCGACCAACUCUUUCUUGCCCGCUCCAAAGAGAGGGACGGCGCUUAUGCAGUGUACUACAUGCAUGUCGGUCAGUCAACAUUUGGGACCAGCGAGCUGUCCAUUAUUGAGGUUCCGCUGGUGGUGCCAAAGGCCCGACCCUGUUCUGGGGGAACUUCUCUUCCCUUUGGGAAGGGGCCGGUUCUCUUCUGUUCACUUUCGAUCUGUCGAUGCUGAGCCGGAGUCCAAGUUGGGCAAACCAAGUGUUGUACAUGGCACCUACUCUAUUGUGAAAGAAAAUUUCGAUGAUGCUAUAAUAAUGAAGCAGCAGCGGCAAGUUUACAAAGUAGCUGAUCGGUCGUGUCCAUUGGCUCAUCCUUUCCCUAUGGUUGCUGCUUUCGCAAUGUAAGUGCUACAGAUCUUUCAGUUUUCUGCUUGUUCAUCUAAUUUCAGCUCUAGUUACACAUACCUCCCGUUUUUAUCUAACGAUAACCCGCAUGUAUCCUCAUCCCGUCACUGUUGGAUUUUCAUAAUAAGAUAAACUAACUGACCCAUUAUAGUAACACACUGCUUAUUUUGCAUAAUCAUAUAUGUGUUCUUACUCUCUUUAAUUUGGUUAUUAAAGAUGCCUACAACUGUGUUCGGAGUACUAGUGGAGUUCAUUAUUGUGCCUUGAAUGUGCCAGUAAUCGUUUAGCUUGCCUUGUGAGGUAGGCUUUUCAGAAACUAGACCUGUUUUCUGUAGGCAGCUUGUGUAUGCAGUUUUUGUUUCUUUUGUCAGCCUGGGUAAAUCUGAAACAGUAUUGAAAAGUCCCUGCGUAUGUUGCCAGUUUCUUUAUGUUGCUAAUUGCUUGAUUUUGUUUGUUAAGACUAUAUUUUCAAAAAGAAACAUAUGUCAUUAUGUGUAUGGUGUUAAUAAUAUACUAUGAUGCAUGCCACAUUUUUUCAUGGUGCAUCUCAGAUCACAAUACUUAAUCACAGAACUACAAAUCCCUUUGUGUUCACUAAUGUUGGGAGCUUGGGGUUAGUGUUUUUCUACAAUUAUGCAAUUGAAAACUCCUUUCAAAUACGAAUUCGAUGGUAUACUUUUGUAACAUACAAAAUGUAUAUUAUUUGGUGAAACAAGUGGUCAAAGUAAACCUCGAAAUAUGUUUUAGGCCUUAUAUAUUGUUAGAGUUAUAUUUAUGGUCGUCUUUGGCCUUUUGCAUUCUGGCCCGUGGCCUCCCCUGUACAUGUAUAUAUGAUGGCUUUUGCCUCCGGAUAAUACUAAGUUGCAUAUUCCUUGCAUGGUAUUAGAGCUUAGGUGCAAGCGGGGCGGGUUGCGGCUGCCCGCCAAACAGCCAAGCGGGAGCCAGCUUUUCCAGCGGCCACAGCAGCUGUCCGCCUUUAGGCCGCUUGAUUUUUAGCGGACUAUGCGGCAGCCCGCUUUGUGCCCGCAAAGACCCGCCAGAUAGUACAAAAUGUAUCAAACAUGCACAGUACCGCAUGAGCUAGCUUUUCCUACUACUACAGACCGCCAGGCAGCCGCAUGUAUCGUUUGCUCAUUCAUCAGUAACAAGCUAAACCAGGCCACCUAUGUAACAUCCAGUUACAUUUUCUCAAAAGACAGUGUACAGCAGGAGAAGUUCUAAAAUGACAGAAAAUGAUGUUGAAACAUUCAGUGAACUUUUGUGCAGCAGGGAUAAGUUCUGAAAUAACAUUCAGUAACAUUCUCUGGAAGACAAUGUACAGCAGGAGAAAUUUUGAAAUGGCAGAAAAAGACAAUGAAUUCUGCUGGAGAACCCUCCAAACUCUGAAACAUGUUUGCUCAUUCAGUGAAUUCAACUAGAUAGCAUAAAUUUAAUUAACUACUGCAGCUAAACCAGGCCACCCCUGAUAUGGAAGUGACUGAUAAUUAUAAUACAACUAGACCCAAAACAUGUUCUAGAUCAUUACAAGUGAUGUCCAUUAAGCAUCUCUUUCAUUGGGAAUCUCCAACUGGUUCAUGAAUCCUGUUGCACCACCUACAUAGGAAAGAGUUUCAAAGUAUUAAUGUACAAAUAGGCAAGAGUUUCAAGAAUUAAUGUACAUUCUAGAAAACUUAUCAAGGCCUGACAAAGGUUUAAGUGAUCUAGAAAACUAUUAAUGCAAACCAGUACAAUAUGCUGCUUCUCAUAACUCAAAUAGUUGCAUUUACAACCGACAAACUUAGAAGCCAAUCACAAUAAUAUGCAGCAGAACCAUCACAUCUCAUGGGUACAGAAACAGAACUGUUCAUGUAUCUCACCUUGAGAAAAACUGCCCUCCAUCAAUGCACUAGAACUACCAUUUUACAGUUCUAUAGUGUAUAUGACAAUAGGUGUAGCAAAGAAUUUACUUCAAUUGUUAUAUAAAAGAACUUUUCAACUUGGCCACAAAAACAGAACUGGUGGCAUGAGCUAAUGUGAUGUCAAAAACUAAUAUUUUUCUAGAUCAUAAGAAUUACAUAAACACCACCACACAGCCAUGAGGACGGAACACAACCAUCAAGAUUUAAAGAUGAUAAUAUGUAUUUCAAGAUUAGGCUUACCUAAUGCUGCAAUCAAUGAGCAUCAAUAUCAGCACCUGUUCCAUAAAUAACAUCGUUUAUUAUCGUGCCAACAUGAUUAGUUCCUGCAAUGAGAGAAAAAAACGUUACAAGUUAUAUCAUCAUAACACUAAAGAAUGCCAAAUAUCACUAAAAAGAGAGUUUGUUACCUCGAGGUCGCAUCCAAUCUUGUAGACAGAUUAAUGCCUCUACAGUGGUUUCUAUCAUUCUGCUCCUAUAGUCACUCAGUAUCCUUCCUCCGGUGGAGAAGGCUGACUCUGAUGCUACAGAAGAUGCAGGUGCAGCCAGUACAUCCUUUGCUAUCCGAGAUACUAUAGGGUACUUGUGUGCAUUUGUGCACCACCAGGAUAGUAUGUCGAAGCCAUCUUCUUGCGGGCAAAUUUCAUCUUUUAGGUAAAUAUCAAGUUCACUCAGCUUUGCUCGAUUUUGUUGAUGUUGUUGAACAUGCUUGUUCCAUUGAUCCCAUGGGUUAUCAGUACUUGUACCAACAUUGCUGGUUCCUUGAUCAUUUCCCAUACUUGAGUCACCCUCAUGCACAGAAUAUUCAACAAAUAAAUCUUUGAAUGUUCUCUUCACUUUAGCAAGAUAUCUCAUUGCGUCACUUUCAAGUCCAGAUUUCAAGCAAAACUCCAAGAAUUUGAACUUGUAUCUUGGAUCGAGUAUGACCGGAAUACAAAUGGUCAAGAAUGAAAGCUUCCAAUACUUCAUGAACUUUUCUUGCAUUGCUUCAACCAUGGAUUUGAUGACAAUAUCGGUCUGGUUGGCCUCUCUUUGCAAUGUUAGAUGAAUUUUCCAAAGUUGGUGGAAAUACAAAUGAGCCGUUGGAUAUAAUGUACCGGAUACCACCAUAGUUGCGUCAAGGAAAAGCUCUAACAAGCUGCAAACAGAUUGUGCCGUUUCCCAUUCAACAUUUGUAGGUUGACAUGUAAAUGUUGUGUCCUGCAACUUCAUAGCGAUGAAUGCUCUCCUAUACUCUAGGGCUGUUUUGAUCAUCAAAUGUGUUGAAUUCCACUGUGUGACAACGUCUAGAGAUAGGCUCUUUUUGCAACCAAUGCCUUCUUGUGCAACUAUUUCCUUAAAUUUCUGUUUUCGAGUGGGGGAGCUUCUAACAAACCUGAUGCUUUCCCUGAUAUUAUCCACUGCUUUGCAUGUAAUCUCCAACCCAUCUUGGACAAUAAGGUUGAUCACAUGAGCUGCACAUCGACCAUGUAAAAGAUCUCCUUUACAAGGACGAGCAGAACGUCAAAGCUGAGCUGGGUGAAGAAAAACCUCAGCCAAGCAUCAGCAGCAGCAGCAGCAUGCCCCAGGAGGCUGCUGCAGAGCCACCUGUUCCGGACAGGGGUCUCAACCGAAGGAUAGUUGUGCUCACCACUCUUGCUGCGGUGGGCCUUUGGAUCUCAGAGGCUCCAGCUUGGCGGGUUUUCUCUCAAAGAUCUUGCUGCCAAUGCUGUGCCAUACGAAGAGGGGCGAUGCAUAGGACCUUGUCUGCAUUGAUGCACCUACAGCCUGAUGUGGCAAUACCGGCAAUCACUUCAACAAUGGAAGCAGAAUGAGGCUUCACUCAAAGACGAGGACAAGGUGUGUAGCGUUGCAAUUAUCUGCUACAGUUGAUGCAAAAUUGACUGUCGUGUAACUGCAACCAACAUGUAGUAGCUUGGCGUCAAGUUUAUACUUUUUUCUCAGUUAGCUCCUGAUCAUGCUGUCCGGAUCCAUGCUAUCAGUAAUUAUGGUUUAUAUUUAGACAGUGUUUGGCUGUUGUCGAUUGUGUGGUUUGGUGAAGUUGCAGGCUUGCAGCUCUGGCAUCUGUUCAGUCUCUGAUAUUUAUGUUGUAUACUAUUACUCUGGAGUUCGGCAAAGUUGCAGCUUUAGUCAUUCAACAAUUGCAUGUUUGUUUCAUUCUGAAAUUUAUGGUGUCAUCCACUAGAUGAAUUGCAUCAUGGACAUAGCUUUCAAGAA